GACGAGGGAUCCUAGCGUUGUUCGGAAUCAUUGGGCGUAAAGCGGGUGUAGGUGGAUCUAUAAGUCAGGUGUGAAAUCCCAGGGCUCAACCCUGGAAGUGCACUUGAUACUGUAGAUCUUGAGUGUGGUAGAGGUUACUGGAAUUCCUGGUGUAGUGGUGAAAUACGUAGAUAUCAGGAGGAAUACCGGAGGCGAAGGCGGGUAACUGGGCCAACACUGACACUGAGACCCGAAAGCGUGGGGAUCAAACAGG
rnacentral:rRNA from 1 species